rnacentral:rRNA from 1 species
GAUGAACGCUGGCGGCGUGCCUAAUACAUGCAAGUCGAGCGGACAGACGAGGAGCUUGCUCCUUUGACGUUAGCGGCGGACGGGUGAGUAACACGUGGGUAACCUACCUAUAAGACUGGGAUAACUUCGGGAAACCGGAGCUAAUACCGGAUAAUAUUUCGAACCGCAUGGUUCGAUAGUGAAAGAUGGCUUUGCUAUCACUUAUAGAUGGACCUGCGCCGUAUUAGCUAGUUGGUAAGGUAACGGCUUACCAAGGCAACGAUACGUAGCCGACCUGAGAGGGUGAUCGGCCACACUGGAACUGAGACACGGUCCAGACUCCUACGGGAGGCAGCAGUAGGGAAUCUUCCGCAAUGGGCGAAAGCCUGACGGAGCAACGCCGCGUGAGUGAUGAAGGUCUUCGGAUCGUAAAACUCUGUUAUUAGGGAAGAACAAACGUGUAAGUAACUGUGCACGUCUUGACGAUACCUAAUCAGAAAGCCACGGCUAACUACGUG